GAAAAUAUGGCUAAACAAGUACUCUUUCCUUCAUGUGUUGUUGUUAAAGAAAAUAAUAAUCAUACUACUAAAAACUUUCCCUUCCAGCACCCUCUCAAUUACCAACAGAAAACUCCUACUCCUCUCAUCACCAUCAUCAUCAGAAUUAGUUGCUCCUCCAAAACCCAAUACUAAUAUUGUUAUAACGAAUUCACAUAUUGUUAAUGAUGAAGACAACCCAAAAGAGGUUCUUAAUGAUAGUGAUAGCUGGAGUGAUCUUGAUGAUGAUGACCAGCAACAACUCCAUGGACAU
rnacentral:lncRNA from 1 species